AUGAAGGAGGUGUGAUCCAUGGACUCUCCGGGCAUGUCCUCGUCCUUGUCGGACUCGCCCUUCCUCCCUCCAAUCAGCCUGGCAGGGUUGCCCACCGCGGUGCUCCUCGCCGGCACAUCUAUCAGCACCACGGAGCCAGCCCCAAUCUUGGCCCCGGCUCCAAUCAUGACGUUGCCGAGGAUGGUGGCGCCGGCGCCUAUGAGCACCCCGUCCCCAAUCUUGGGGUGGCGGUCGCCGACGGCCUUGCCGGUCCCGCCGAGGGUGACGUGGUGGAGGAUGGAGACGUUGUCGCCGACGACGGCGGUCUCCCCGAUGACGACGCCGGUGGCGUGGUCGAGGAGGAUGGCCUUGCCGACGACGGCGGCGGGGUGGAUGUCGACGGCGAAGACGUCGGCGACGCGGGACUGGAGGGCGAGCGCGAGGGGGCGGCGGUUCUGCGCCCAGAGCACGUGCGCGACGCGGUGCGCCUGGAUGGCGAGGAAGCCCUUGUAG
rnacentral:rRNA from 1 species